GAUUUUGUAAGUCAAAGACUAUUAGUUAAUCAUGUAAU
rnacentral:tRNA from 1 species